CAUUCACGGAGAGUUUGAUCCUGGCUCAGGACGAACGCUGGCGGCGUGCUUAACACAUGCAAGUCGAACGAUGAACCGCUUUCGGGCGGGGAUUAGUGGCGAACGGGUGAGUAACACGUGGGCAAUCUGCCCUGCACUCUGGGACAAGCCCUGGAAACGGGGUCUAAUACCGGAUAUGACUGUCCAUCGCAUGGUGGAUGGUGUAAAGCUCCGGCGGUGCAGGAUGAGCCCGCGGCCUAUCAGCUUGUUGGUGAGGUAGUGGCUCACCAAGGCGACGACGGGUAGCCGGCCUGAGAGGGCGACCGGCCACACUGGGACUGAGACACGGCCCAGACUCCUACGGGAGGCAGCAGUGGGGAAUAUUGCACAAUGGGCGAAAG
rnacentral:rRNA from 1 species